rnacentral:rRNA from 1 species
UUAUGAAUUAGACCCGAAAACGAAUGAGCUUACCAUGAGCAGGUUGAAAGCAAGGUAACACUUGCCGGAGGACCGAACCAGUUGACGUUGAAAAGUCUUUGGAUGACUUGUGGUAAGGGGUGAAAGGCCAACCAAAUUCGUAGAUAGCUGGUUUUCCGCGAAAACUAUUUAGGUAGUGCGUUGAGUAAAUAGAUGUUUAGAGGUAGAGCACUAAAUGGGCUAGGGGGAAGAGAUUCUUACCAAACCUAAUAAAACUCCGAAUGCUAAACAUUGUUCCUCAGCAGACAGACUGUGGGUGCUAAGGUCCAUGGUCGAGAGGGAAAGAGCCCAGACCACCAGAUAAGGUCCCAAAAUUAUGAUUAAGUGUGAAAGGAUGUGGAAAUUCCUUAACAGCCGGGAGGUUGGCUUAGAAGCAGCCAUCCUUUAAAGAUAGCGUAACAGCUCACCGGUCUAAUAGAGUUUCUGCGCCGAAGAUGUAACGGGGCUAAAAUCAUAUACCGAAUCUGUGGAUUUAUAAUUUUUUCGAAAAUUGUAACUGGUAGCGGAACGUUCUGUAAGCCUGUAAAGGAGUACCCGUGAGGGACUCUGGAGGUAUCAGAAGUGCGAAUGCUGACAUAAGUAACGAUAAAAGAAGUGAAAAACUUCUUCGCCGAAAAUCCAAGGGUUUCUGCGCAAGGUUAAUCCGCGCAGAGUUAGUCGGCACCUAAGGCGAGGGCGAAAGCCGUAGUCGAUGGAAACAAGGUUAAUAUUCCUUGACCAGAUGGUAGUGACGAAUCUUGUAAGUUGUAAGUUCUUAAUGGAUUGAAUUUGCCGCGAAAAGGUUCCAAGAAAUAGCUCCAUCAUUAGACCGUACCCUAAACCGACACAGGUGGAUUAAUAGAGUAUAUUUAGGCGCUUGAGAGAAUGAUGUUGAAGGAACUCGGCAAAAUGCUUCCGUAACUUCGGAAUAAGGAAGACCUUUAUUUAGGCAACUAAUUAAAGGUGGCACAAGCCAGGGAGAAGCGACUGUUUAUCAAAAACACAGGGCUCUGCUAACACGUAAGUGGAUGUAUAGGGUCUGACGCCUGCCCGGUGCUGGAAGGUUAAUGCGAUGGGUGCAAGCUCAUUUCUGAAGCCCCAGUAAACGGCGGCCGUAACUAUAACGGUCCUAAGGUAGCGAAAUUCCUUGUCGGGUAAGUUCCGACCUGCAUGAAUGGCGUAACGAUUUCUCCGCUGUCUCCAACAUCAACUCAGUGAAAUUGAAUUCUCCGUGAAGAUGCGGAGUUCGCGUAGUUAGACGGAAAGACCCCGUGCACCUUUACUGCAACUUUACAUUGGUGUUAGGAAAAACAUAUUUAGCAUAGGAGGGAGACAUUGAAACAAAGGCGUCAGCUUUUGUGGAGUCACCAGUGAAAUACCUCUUUUGUUUUUCUUGAUAUCUAACUGAUAGCCGUUAUCCGGCAUCAAGACA